rnacentral:rRNA from 1 species
AUACGUAGGGUGCGAGCGUUAAUCGGAAUUACUGGGCGUAAAGCGUGCGCAGGCGGUUUUGUAAGACAGUGGUGAAAUCCCCGGGCUCAACCUGGGAACUGCCAUUGUGACUGCAAGGCUGGAGUGCGGCAGAGGGGGAUGGAAUUCCGCGUGUAGCAGUGAAAUGCGUAGAUAUGCGGAGGAACACCGAUGGCGAAGGCAAUCCCCUGGGCCUGCACUGACGCUCAUGCACGAAAGCGUGGGGAGCAAACAGGAUUAGAUACCCUGGUAGUCCACGCCCUAAACGAUGUCAACUGGUUGUUGGGAAUUUAUUUUCUCAGUAACGAAGCUAACGCGUGAAGUUGACCGCCUGGGGAGUACGGCCGCAAGGUUAAAACUCAAAUGAAUUGACGGGG